rnacentral:rRNA from 1 species
GAUGAACGCUAGCGGCAGGCCUAAUACAUGCAAGUCGAGGGGCAGCGGGGUAGCAAUACUGCCGGCGACCGGCGCACGGGUGCGUAACACGUAUGCAACCUACCUUAAACUGGGGGAUAGCCCGGGGAAACUCGGAUUAAUACCCCAUAACACAGUGUUAUCACACGAUGAUAUUGUUAAAGAUUUAUCGGUUUAAGAUG